GCUCUGUUAUUCAGCGCUCUGUUAUUCCCCGCCAUGAAUGAAAGCAAACUCUGCGGCUCUGGAGGAUCUGUGCGGAAUUCAAGGCAUUCCUGCCCUCCUUUCCCCCCCGGGCAGUGCCUGUGCCCUGUGUUCCUCCUCAGGGGUUUAUGGCGGUAGUUCCGGAUGGAGCCUCUUGUCGGGUGGCUGGAAACCAGCUUCUCAUUUCCAUCUAAAUCAAUAGAUGUGUUUUUUUGUUUGCUUCCCCUUUCCGUGUAUUUGCAUAUCCAAUUCCCCCUCAUUUGUUGUGUUAGGUUAUAUAAGCCCUUUUCAUCACUGCGUGGUCAUACAAGGUUCCCCGGCCAUUGGGAUGUGUGUCCUGCGGGACUUUCUCAAUCUAAAUGCUUUUAAAAUGCUUUUUCUCCUGAGAGAGGGUGCUGCAUGGAGUGUCAGACAGCGAUGCCUCAAACACAACACGAAUGUUUUCCCCAAGUUCGUGGAAAUUCCAUGACUGGACUCCCACUGGUCUGUCUCAGUCACACCAUGCUGUCAGUUUCCUGUCACCCUGUGGUUGGUUAGUAAAGCCAAAUCCUUCUCCCCUUCUCUUAUUUCUUGCUCGGACUCCCAACAAAAAACAUUUUUUUUUUUUUUAUUUAUUUCCUCAUUGCCUGAAGUUUCAAUUUUAUACUAUACUGUUCUGUGGAUCAUCCUGUGAAACUGGCUUUUAGUAAAUCCACACUACCUUUUAUCCCUUUAUUAUUAAUUGAAUAUGAUGGUUUUAGUUAGAUUCUCCUUUGCAGAUUUUUCUGAAGAGCUGCACAGACAUCAAAAUCACAGCCCAAACUUGCCUCCACCAUGGCUUACUUCUUAGAACUUGCUGUUCUCUGGUCCUGUGGUAAUGCCUUCAAGUAGGCAAAUUCACUUAAAAUCUUUUGGAUUUGUGCAUGUCAGGGUUCUGAAAUUGAGAAUGCCUGAUUUCUCCAGCUGGAAAACAGCAGACUCGGUGAGUUUUGCUUGCCAUCUGUGAGAUGUGUUCAUUUAUUAUCUUUUACCCAUUUCACCUUUCUCCCCCUUCUCUUAAACAUCCUGUCUUUAUGCCAUGGAUCAUCAUGUUCAUCCUUACUGAAAAUCAGCAGUAGAUGCUCAGGAGGAAAGCAGUCAUCUGGCAUGAUUGACAUGGAUUUUCUGCCUCAGAGAGCUUCAAUGAGAGAAGGCUCAGAACAGCACAAACAGAAUGGGGAGUUAGAAGCAGAGCCUUUCCACUGCCCUCAGGUGGCAUUUGAUCAGGAUCUGAGUGAUAACAGAUGGAAACAAAUGCCACAUUGUUAUUAAACAACAUGUUUGCCUUUAAACUAUGAGAUAUCAUUAGACCAUUGCCACAAAAAUAAAGUCCAGAGACAGUUAAACAAGGUCCUGGCUCAUGACAGACUGAGUCGAAUGUGAUGGUGCUGCAGGGGUGAGUAAGGACACCAAACCAGGACCUGCAGGUUUGCUGUGUGACCUACAGCUCAGCUGGGAUGUUAUCAGUAAGCCAAAGCUACUGGGGAUGCUGACCAGCCCUG